rnacentral:rRNA from 1 species
UACGUAGGGGGCAAGCGUUGUCCGGAUUUAUUGGGCGUAAAGAGCUCGUAGGCGGUCUGUCGCGUCGGAUGUGAAAAUCCAGGGCUCAACCCUGGACCCGCAUUCGAUACGGGCAGACUAGAGUUCGGUAGGGGAGACUGGAAUUCCUGGUGUAGCGGUGAAAUGCGCAGAUAUCAGGAGGAACACCGGUGGCGAAGGCGGGUCUCUGGGCCGAAACUGACGCUGAGGAGCGAAAGCGUGGGGAGCAAACAGG